UGCCAGAUUCUUCGUGCAACCGAACCUCUCCAGCGGACAAUCUUCAGACGAGCUUUUGCAUCAGGCAAAUCCUAGACGGACUUCUCUGGCCAUCAAAUUUCUAUCAAACUUCACCAACGAAAAGUCUCCAUCCAAGCUUCUACAGCAGAUGACUCCCGCCUGUAGCAUCAGCGCCCAAGGCAUCUGACAAUAGUAGACUCAUCAGCAACCUCAAAAAUAUUCAAGCUUCUCCCAGAUGGUUGAAACAGAGCCAUUCCGCUCCAUCAGACGUCCUAGCCGAGCUUCAGCUGUCAGGCC
rnacentral:lncRNA from 1 species